UACGGGGGGGGGCAAGCGUUGUUCGGAAUUACUGGGCGUAAAGGGCUCGUAGGCGGUCUGUCGCGUCGGGAGUGAAAACUCAGGGCUUAACCCUGAGCCUGCUUCCGAUACGGGCAGACUAGAGGUAUGCAGGGGAGAACGGAAUUCCGUGGCGUAGCGGUGAAAUGCGCAGAUAUCAGGAGGAACACCGGUGGCGAAGGCGGUUCUCUGGGCAUUACCUGACGCUGGAGGAGCGAAACGUGUGGGGAGCGAACAGG
rnacentral:rRNA from 1 species